rnacentral:rRNA from 1 species
AUACGGAGGAUGCAAGCGUUAUCCGGAUUUAUUGGGUUUAAAGGGUGCGUAGGCUGUUCGGAAAGUCAGGGGUGAAAGCCCGGCGCCUAACGCCGGAACUGCCUUUGAUACUUCCGAGCUGGAAUACGGAUGCCGUGGGAGGAAUGAGUAGUGUAGCGGUGAAAUGCAUAGAUAUUACUCAGAGCACCGAUUGCGAAGGCAUCUCACGAAUCCGUCAUUGACGCUGAGGCACGAAAGCGUGGGGAUCAAACAGGAUUAGAGACCCUGGUAGUCCACGCAGUAAACGAUGAUGACUAACCGUCGGCGAUACACAGUCGGUGGCCAAGCGAAAGCGAUAAGUCAUCCACCUGGGGAGUACGUUCGCAAGAAUGAAACUCAAAUGAAUUGACGGGG